rnacentral:rRNA from 1 species
CCUACGGGAGGCAGCAGUGGGGAAUAUUGCACAAUGGGGGAAACCCUGAUGCAGCGACGCCGCGUGAGUGAAGAAGUAAUUCGUUAUGUAAAGCUCUAUCAGCAGGGAAGAAAAUGACGGUACCUGAGUAAGAAGCCCCGGCUAACUACGUGCCAGCAGCCGCGGUAAUACGUAGGGGGCAAGCGUUAUCCGGAUUUACUGGGUGGAAAGGGAGCGUAGACGGCAGUGCAAGUCUGGAGUGAAAGGCGGGGGCUCAACCCCCGGACUGCUCUGGAAACUGUACGGCUGGAGUGCAGGAGAGGUAAGUGGAAUUCCUAGUGUAGCGGUUAAAUGCGUAGAUAUUAGGAGGAACACCAGUGGCGAAGGCGGCUUACUGGACUGUAACUGACGUUGAGGCUCGAAAGCGUGGGGAGCAAACAGGAUUAGAUACCCCUGUAGUC